rnacentral:rRNA from 1 species
GUACACUCCUACGGGAGGCAGCAGUGAGGAAUAUUGGACAAUGGGUGGAAGCCUGAUCCAGCCAUCCCGCGUGCAGGAAGACGGCCCUAUGGGUUGUAAACUGCUUUUAUCUGGGGAUAAACCUACUUACGUGUAAGUAGCUGAAGGUACCAGAAGAAUAAGCACCGGCUAACUCCGUGCCAGCAGCCGCGGUAAUACGGAGGGUGCAAGCGUUAUCCGGAUUUAUUGGGUUUAAAGGGUCCGUAGGCGGACUGAUAAGUCAGUGGUGAAAUCCGACAGCUUAACUGUCGAACUGCCAUUGAUACUGUUAGUCUUGAGUAAGGUUGAAGUGGCUGGAAUAAGUAGUGUAGCGGUGAAAUGCAUAGAUAUUACUUAGAACACCAAUUGCGAAGGCAGGUCACUAAGUCUUAACUGACGCUGAUGGACGAAAGCGUGGGGAGCGAACAGGAUUAGAAACCCCGGUAGUCCCAU